rnacentral:rRNA from 1 species
AUGAACGCUAGCGACAGGCUUAACACAUGCAAGUCGAGGGGCAGCACAGGUAGCAAUACCGGGUGGCGACCGGCGCACGGGUGAGUAACGCGUAUGCAACUUGCCUAUCAGAGGGGGAUAACCCGGCGAAAGUCGGACUAAUACCGCAUGAAGCAGGGGCCCCGCAUGGGGAUAUUUGCUAAAGAUUCAUCGCUGAUAGAUAGGCAUGCGUUCCAUUAGGCAGUUGGCGGGGUAACGGCCCACCAAACCGACGAUGGAUAGGGGUUCUGAGAGGAAGGUCCCCCACAUUGGUACUGAGACACGGACCAAACUCCUACGGGAGGCAGCAGUGAGGAAUAUUGGUCAAUGGGCGUAAGCCUGAACCAGCCAAGUCGCGUGAGGGAUGAAGGUUCUAUGGAUCGUAAACCUCUUUUAUAAGGGAAUAAAGUGCGGGACGUGUCCCGUUUUGUAUGUACCUUAUGAAUAAGGAUCGGCUAACUCCGUGCCAGCAGCCGCGGUAAUACGGAGGAUCCGAGCGUUAUCCGGAUUUAUUGGGUUUAAAGGGUGCGUAGGCGGCCUUUUAAGUCAGCGGUGAAAGUCUGUGGCUCAACCAUAGAAUUGCCGUUGAAACUGGGGGGCUUGAGUAUGUUUGAGGCAGGCGGAAUGCGUGGUGUAGCGGUGAAAUGCAUAGAUAUCACGCAGAACCCCGAUUGCGAAGGCAGCCUGCCAAGCCAUUACUGACGCUGAUGCACGAAAGCGUGGGGAUCAAACAGGAUUAGAUACCCUGGUAGUCCACGCAGUAAACGAUGAUCACUAGCUGUUUGCGAUACACUGUAAGCGGCACAGCGAAAGCGUUAAGUGAUCCACCUGGGGAGUACGCCGGCAACGGUGAAACUCAAAGGAAUUGACGGGGGCCCGCACAAGCGGAGGAACAUGUGGUUUAAUUCGAUGAUACGCGAGGAACCUUACCCGGGUUUGAACGCAUUCGGACCGAGGUGGAAACACCUUUUCUAGCAAUAGCCGUUUGCGAGGUGCUGCAUGGUUGUCGUCAGCUCGUGCCGUGAGGUGUCGGCUUAAGUGCCAUAACGAGCGCAACCCUUGUUGUCAGUUACUAACAGGUGAUGCUGAGGACUCUGGUGGGACUGCCAGCGUAAGCUGCGAGGAAGGCGGGGAUGACGUCAAAUCAGCACGGCCCUUACAUCCGGGGCGACACACGUGUUACAAUGGCGUGGACAAAGGGAGGCCACCUGGCGACAGGGAGCGAAUCCCCAAACCACGUCUCAGUUCGGAUCGGAGUCUGCAACCCGACUCCGUGAAGCUGGAUUCGCUAGUAAUCGCGCAUCAGCCAUGGCGCGGUGAAUACGUUCCCGGGCCUUGUACACACCGCCCGUCAAGCCAUGGGAGCCGGGGGUACCUGAAGUCCGUAACCGAAAGGAUCGGCCUAGGGUAAAACUGGUGACUGGGGCU